AUUGAACGCUGGCGGCAGGCCUAACACAUGCAAGUCGAACGAGCGGCGGACGGGUGAGUAAUGUCUUGGAAACUGCCUGAUGUAGGGGGAUAACGACUGGAAACGGUAGCAAAUACCGCAUACCAUCCGAUUUGCCCAGAUGGGAUUGGCUAGUAGGUGGGGUAACGGCUCACCUAGGCGACGAUCUCUAGCUGGUCUGAGAGGUUGACCAGCCACACUGGAACGGAGACACGGUCCAGACUCCUACGGGAGGCAGCAGUGGGGAAUAUUGCACAAUGGACGCAAGCCUGAUGCAGCCAUGCCGCGUGUGUGAAGAAGGCCUUCGGGUUGUAAAGCACUUUCAGCGGGGAGGCGGUACCCGCAGAAAAAGCACCGGCUAACUCCGUGCCAGCAGCCGCGGUAAUAC
rnacentral:rRNA from 1 species